CGCGUAGGCGGUCGGGUAAGUCGGGUGUGAAAUUCCGGGGCUCAACCCCGUGGACUGCACUCGAUACUGCUCGACUUGAGAGAGGUAGGGGCGAGUGGAAUUCCCGGUGUAGCGGUGGAAUGCGUAGAUAUCGGGAAGAACACCGGUGGCGAAGGCGGCUCGCUGGGCCUCAUCUGACGCUGAAGCGCGAAAGCGUGGGGAGCAAACA
rnacentral:rRNA from 1 species